AUCCUUCUGUGUUAAGCAUGUCUGGCCAAUUUAUUGUGGCUGCCCAGCUGCAUCCUCAGCAGACCAACAAAGCUAUAAGAUUGUGUUGUGUUUGCAAUUACUUAGUCUGUGAAAACAAGCGAGAAGCAUGAUCUACAGGUACUGAUAUACUGAUAUAAACAGAAGGUUUCCAGCAGAGACAACAAAUAAUCCAGAUCGAACUAGAGUCGACGGAAUCAUGAGGGGUGGAGAGGCAGAUGCCGGAUAGAGUCUUCUUGAUUUCCUCUCAUCCUUCCGUUUAUUUUGUGGAGAGAGUCAACAAUGUGUACUGAAAUGUGAGUGCAUGUUGAAAUUAGUCUGUUUCCAGACUAAUUUCUUACACUGAUCCAAGAAAUGCGUGUGAGAUUGUCGAAGAAGUGAAAGAAAUUGCAGUGAGCUGAGCUAGAAUAUCCUUCGCAGGAAUUUUAGCUUAGUUAUUCGCAGAGGGGGCAGACCGAUGGAGCCCAAGAGAGAUCAGUUUUGGUCUAGGGUUAGUUUUGUUUUUAUAUGGUCGGGUUUGGGCUUGGGUUUUAGGCUGUGUGUUGGGUUACUGUGUGUUGGGUUAUAUAUUUGAAUAGAUUAGAAUGGAUUGGGUUGCUGUUUUUAGUAUUAACAACUUUUAUCGUAUUUUUUAUAAGCAACAAUUUUUAUUGUGUA